rnacentral:rRNA from 1 species
UACAGAGGGUGCGAGCGUUGUCCGGAAUUACUGGGCGUAAAGGGCGCGUAGGCGGCCUUCUAAGUCGAACGUGAAAUCCCCGGGCUCAACCCGGGAACUGCGUCCGAUACUGGAAGGCUUGAAUCCGGGAGAGGGAUGCGGAAUUCCAGGUGUAGCGGUGAAAUGCGUAGAUAUCUGGAGGAACACCGGUGGCGAAGGCGGCAUCCUGGACCGGCAUUGACGCUGAGGCGCGAAAGCCAGGGGAGCAAACGGG